GGGGUCAUAGCCUAGUGGUAGAGCAACUGCCUUGCAAGCAGAAGGUGGCAAGUUCAAUCCCCCAGCACAGGGGUCCCCA